UGGGAAAUCCCAUGGACAGAGGACCCUGGUGGGCGACAGUCCACGGAGUCGCAAAGAGUCGGCCAUGACUGAGUGACUAAACAACAGCAAAAACAACAAGUGUGGUAUAUAGACUCAACCCACCUAUGCAGACAAACCAAAUGGGCACCCUUAGCCUUCUGCAUACAUUCACUCCAACUAAGCCUGGAGCUGAUUUCCUUGUUUUGAUACUGAUAGAAGCUCAUGUUCUACAUUAGGUAAUUUCUACCUCUCUCUCUUUCUCUCCAGAAAACAAGAGAAUUUUAGUUUGUUCUCAAAGAAUGCCAGGUGAAAAAAAUAAAGAAGAAAGCCGUAAGCUCAUAAGCACAUAAUCAGAUCUUCCUGCCUUUCAUGCGGACCGUUGUUUGGAAGAACCACAGUACUACCUGAUCCACUGUUGGCUGACUCUGAGGAUACCGAACUGUGGAUACAGAGGAACCGUGGAUGUGGAGGAACCACGUGAGAGCUGGGUCGACAGGAAGUUUUAUUCGGAUUUUCUACUUCAAGGAGGGUCAGCAACCCUAGCCCCAUAAUUAGUCAAGGUCAACUGUACUUUCCUAUUGUUAACCACUUAAACUAUUUCCAGUUUUUACCUAGUGUAAAUAUUGUUGUGACUAGCAUUCUUGAACAUAUAUCUUUGGGCAUAUCCUAUUCUUUCCUGUAGACAAAUUACUAAGAGUAAUAUUGUUGGGUCAAAAGGCAAAUAGUUUUAAAUAAUCACAUGUAAUAUUACGACCCUAAGAUAACCCCUGCCAACAAUUUGAUGCAUAUUUAUACAGUCUUUUAAAAAAUGAAUAUGUAUGUGCGGGAAUACAUAUGUAGUUUUUGAAAAGUUGUUAUUGUGUUCUGUAUGGGAGGGCACCUACUGAAGAAUUUUAAGCAGGAGAAAGAUACAACUUGAUUUUUUUUUCUUUUGGCCACUCCAUGUGGGUUGCAGAAUCUUAAUUCUCCGACCCUGAUUGAACCCCAGCCCUGGCAGUGAAAGCUGUGAGACCUAACCACUGGACCACCAGGGAAUUCCUGGUUUUCUCUUUAGAAGAAGCAAUCUGGCUGACCUGUUGAAGACAGACUAUCAGCGAGCCAAAGCAGAGGCAGAACCCAGGUGGAGUCUGUGGCAGUGACCCCGGAGAGAGGCCACAGUGGCUUGCAGCAGAGGGCAGUGCUGGGGGAGUGAAUGGUGGUCAGAUUCUGGAUCUCUGCAGGAACACAGACAGUAUGUGGAGGAGGAGAGAAAGAAAGCAGUGCAGAUUAACUCCACGUUCUGGUGGCUUGAACACUUGGAAGGAUGGUGUAGACGUCGAGUGACGGGAAACGCUUGCGGAGAGGCAAGAACAGGAGUCCAUUUGCAGAGAAUGGAAAGAGGAAAACGAGUUAUGGCAGGACAGAACCAAAAUGCAAGAAAGGUCACAUUUCCAGAAGAGGAAUAAAUGAAUCAAAGGGCUUCCUAUCAAAGGCCUUGUUUUUAUCACCAAAAUUUCAUCCAGAAAGAAGUACCUAUUUAUUUUCUCGACAACAAUAUAUGAAUGGCUAUAUUUCCAA